rnacentral:rRNA from 1 species
AUGUUAAGUCAGCCCAUCAACACACUGUGUUGGAAUGUUAGGGGAUUAAACUGCCCGGCCAGGAGGGCAACUGUUAGUGCUACGAUUGCGUCUUCCUCCUGCCAAAUUGUGUGUCUGCAAGAGACAAAACUGGAGAACGUGGAUGUGUUUACUGCUGCCUUUCUCGGUGGUAACAGGCUGCGGAAUUUUGCGCAACGUCCGGCUGUGGGGACAAGGGGUGGACUGUUGCUUCUAUGGGAUGACAGCGUUCUCGAGGUCUCCGACAUUUCUUUCUCGGCUUAUUGCCUUUCGGCUUCGGUCCGAGUCCUCGAGAAUGAGGUGUGUUUCAAGCUCACUAAUGUCUACGGGCCUACUGACUAUGCAUGCAAGGAGGCUUUCUUUGCUGAGAUAUGCUCCUGCAAGCCACUUCCGGGUUUGGGCUGGCUCGUGCUUGGGGACUUGAACCAAAUAUACCGUGCUAGGGACAAGAACAAGCGAAAUUUCAACCGGAGGAGGAUUAAGCGCUUUCGUGACACUCUUCAGUCAUGUGAGCUCAAGGAGAUCCAUCUGUAGAAUAGGCGGUUCACGUGGAGCAACGAGAGGGAAAACCCAACCCUUUGCAAGCUGGACUCCUUCUUCUGUAAUGCGACCUGGGACUUGUCUUUCAACACCCAUGUGCUUCACGCCCUUUCGUCGUCCCUUUCCGACCACUGCCCUUUGCUGCUCGCCAACGACAGGGGGCCUAGGCGGCCUCGGUCCUUCAAGUUUGAAAACUUCUGGGUGUCCUUGCCUGGUUUCGAUGAGGUGGUCUCGAAGGCUUGGGCCGAGCGGGUGCGACGCACUGAGCCGUACCAGAUUCUGUAUCAAAAGCUCAAGAAAACCGCGAUGCGUCUCUCUGAGUGGAGUAAGAAGCUUUUCUCCAAGGCGAAGGUCCAGUUUCAUGCGGCUCAGCUGGUGAUCCUUCACCUUGACAUUGCGCAGGAGGGGAGAUCCCUCUCCCCUGAGGAGCGGGACCUCCGCUUGAGACUGAAGAGAAGGGUUAUUAGCCUGUCGGUGCUCCAGAGGGCUCGAAAGAGUCAGUGUGCAAGGGUUGCAAAUUUGAAAGAUGGUGAUGCUAACACCAAAUUUUUUCAUCGACGCAUUAAUGCUAGGCGGCGAAAGAACCACAUUCAUCGGAUCAAGCACAGGCAUGGUUGGGUAACCGAGCAUAAAGAAAAAGAGAAGAUCAUUCACGACCACUUCCAUGAGGUGAGGGGAGAAGGGGAUCGAGCGGCAAGGACUUUAAUUGGGAGGAGCUAG